rnacentral:rRNA from 1 species
AAGACGUAGGGGGCGAGCGUUGCCCGGAUUCACUGGGCGUAAAGCGGGUGCAGGCGGCCGGGUAAGUCCCGUGUGAAAGCCCACGGCUCAACCGUGGGACGUCGCGGGAAACUGCCCGGCUUGAGGGCAGCAGAGGGUGGUGGAAUUCCCGGUGUAGCGGUGAAAUGCGUAGAGAUCGGGAGGAACGCCAGUGGCGAAGGCGGCCACCUGGGCUGUCCCUGACGCUCAGACCCGAAAGCUGGGGGAGCGAACGGGAUUAGAUACCCCGGUAGUCCCAGCCCUAAACGAUGCUCACUAGGUGUCGGGGGGUCACUCCCUCGGUGCCGAAGCUAACGCAUUAAGUGAGGUUUCUGGGGAGUACGGGUUUAAGGCU